rfam:Eutrema salsugineum unplaced genomic scaffold scaffold_11, whole genome shotgun sequence.
AAACCAUGGUGUGGACACUGAUUGGUGUAGCUUCUAAACCUCUCCCAAGUUUCACCAAACCUUUCAUUGUUAUGUUGUUUGAAGCUUGAAAUUUGGUUUCUCAGCUU